AUUUUUUUUCCCCGUGGUUAAGUUCUUCUGCCAUCGUUUGGCUCGUUACCAUAGCAACGGGAUCGGCUUUCUGUGGAAGUUGUGAUGUAGAGCCGGAUGUUUUCAUCUCUCUAAUGGAAGUUUAAACAUUUUAAUUAUUCUUCUCUAUAAAUGAAUUACCGUAUGUAGAAAGACCAUAAUCAGAGAGAGAAACUUAAUCUUGGACAAUACAAAGCAACUUUAUGGCUGCUUUAAGUGAUGAGUUUAGAAAAGUUUAUGGAAUCAUAGUGAUUCGAUUGUGUUCAACAUUUUAAGGGAAGAUAGUCAACUUUUUCAUGCUUAAAAAGGUAUUUUGCAAAUAAUGCAGUCGUAUAUUGAUGUAAAUGUCAAUUGUUGCAACGAACUAAACUUUAUACAAGAUUUCAAAAAAAAAACUGAUAUUUUUUUCUUCUUUUCAAAUCUUUAAAUGUAUAGUUUGAAGUUUUAAACUUGAAGAAAGCAGAUUUAAUGUCAGAUUCUUAAAAUAUAAAUAAAGUAGAAAAGCAUUAUUAUGAGAUGUUAAACUAAAAAAAUAAUGCAAAUGAGAUUUUUUAGCAUAAGAUCUUGAUUUAGGCAAGUAUUCAGAAAAUAGAUCGUUAUAUUAGUCAAGAAUGUUGUAAUAACGUUUAUGAUUCUAGGUUAUUAUUUAAUCAAUAUGUACUUUAAAUAAUAUAAAUAUUUUUGAAUUUAUUAUUUUCCCUUCAUUUUACAGAUUCAGAAAUUUAUAUCAUUUAGAAACGAUUUAUUGAAUAAUCUAAAAUUAAUGUUCAAACCGAAGAUGAUUUAAGCGCUACAAAGCGUAAAGAGACAUUUUUGCCUGAGGAUUUCCAUUAAUAAGAUAUGCGUCCUGAAUAAUGAAAAUGUUAUGAUGUCAUAUAUAGUAAAUGUGAUAUCAUAAUUGCUUUAUUUUACUGUUCCACUAGUAACAGUAUAAAUAAGACGAUUAUCUUUGAUAAUCAUUAUGCUUAUAAUGCUUGACUAAUCGAAAAUUAACAAACGCCAUUCCGUAAUUUAAUUUUUAUAUCUAUUUAAAAUUAUAACAGAUUUAUUCAAGAAUUUUUA